UCYGGUUGAUCCUGCCRGACCCGACUGCUAUCAGAGUGGGACUAAGCCAUGCGAGUCAACGCCGAAAGGCGUGGCAUACGGCUCAGUAACACGUAGUCAACAUGCCCCAAAGGACGUGGAUAACCUCGGGAAACUGAGGAUAAACCACGAUAGGCCAAGGUUUCUGGAAUGAGCCAUGGCCGAAAUCUAUAUGGCCUCUGGAUUGGACUGCGGCCGAUCAGGCUGUUGGUGAGGUAAUGGCCCACCAAACCUUUUACCGGUACGGGCUCUGAGAGGAGGAGCCCGGAGAUGGGCACUGAGACAAGGGCCCAGGCCCUAUGGGGCGCAGCAGGCGCGAAACCUCUGCAAUAGGCGAAAGCCUGACAGGGUUACUCUGAGUGAUUCCCGCUAAGGGAAUCUUUUGGCAUCUCUAAAAAUGGUGCAGAAUAAGGGGUGGGCAAGUCUGGUGUCAGCCGCCGCGGUAAUACCAGCACCCCGAGUGGUCGGGACGAUUAUUGGGCCUAAAGCAUCCGUAGCCGGUCUUGCAAGUCUUCCGUUAAAUCCAGCUGCUUAACAGAUGGGCUGCGGAGGAUACUACAAGGCUAGGAGGCGGGAGAGGCAAGCGGUACUCAGUGGGUAGGGGUAAAAUCCUCUGAUCCAUUGAAGACCACCAGUGGCGAAGGCGGCUUGCCAGAACGCGCUCGACGGUGAGGGAUGAAAGCUGGGGGAGCAAACCGGAUUAGAUACCCGGGUAGUCCCAGCUGUAAACGAUGCAGACUCGGUGAUGGGCCGGCUUUAUGCCGGCUCAGUGCCGCAGGGAAGCCGUUAAGUCUGCCGCCUGGGGAGUACGGUCGCAAGACUGAAACUUAAAGGAAUUGGCGGGGGAGCACYACAAGGGGUGAAGCCUGCGGUUCAAUUGGUABUCAACGUCCGGR
rnacentral:rRNA from 1 species